rnacentral:tRNA from 1 species
ACCCAGGUGGCAUAGUGGUGAGGAACCUGCCUGCGGUGCAGGAGACCCAGGUUCAAUCCCUGGGUUGGGAA